CUUCUUCUUGUUUUUUUGUUAUAAGCUUUAAUUUAUGUAUAAAGAUGCAUUUGAGGUAAUGCUCAUUAUGUCAAUUGACUAGGCGUAUUUUUCUCUGUUUAUUAAUGAAAUUCAGAGUUUUUAAUGUAAGUUUCGUCUGGCCGGCUUUCAAAUCCUGGAUCCAUCAUUGUACGACAGCUCUUGGAGCUCGCGUUGGAGCUUGCCUCUUCUCUUCCUUAUGCAUCACAUGUUCUCCGUUUCUUUUUGUGUGUUCCUGCCAAUAUUGUUUCAAGGUCCUGGAUUAUAUUCUUGUUGCAGCUAAUAUAUGGUUGUGCAUCCUGUGAGAGAAAGAGUUUGGUUCUCCUGGGGUAGGUAAUGUAGCUCGGAAAGACAGAGUGGAUGGCUGGAAGAAGAUGAAGCACGAGAAGAUUGUUAUUCGAAUGAGCACUGGCCAAGCUACUUCAGAUCCGAUGUGCAACGACUCUUCAUGGGUUCUGUCUUUAUUGAAUUUUCUUUUUCUUUGCAGUUAUAAGUAUCCUGCUUUUGUCAAGACACAGAAUAGCCAUAGAACUUGGUAAAAUCCUGACAUCCUUUUCGGGAGCUUCUUAAGGCAAUUUCCUCUUUUUCCAAAUUCUUUUCUGGUUGGUGGUGCAGAAGACUUCUUUGUUAUUGAACUUGCAGAUCAGCUUCAAAAACUGAAGGUGGAACCAGUAUUGCUGCACACAGCACAUAAAACUUCUCCAGGGAAUGGAUCUGAGAAUGGCCACAAGUACAAGGUUAAAGGCUUGUUUGUAUAGUUUCACUUCUCCUGGUGGUCCAAUGUACCCCACAAGAGCUGUUCGUCAUGCUGCCUGGGAUGCAUUAGAUUUGCUUUUUCCAGUUGGGAGAUAUCCGUGGCAUCUUAUAAGCCUGUUCUUCCGACCAUGGUACUGGCUCUCUUCUUGUUGGAAUUUCAUAAUGGAUUGCAUAAAAGCAGUAUUGUAUUCUCUGUUAGGAUUAAUCUAUUCAAGUUUGGAGAAGCUGAGGAAGCCAAAGUUUUAAAUGCUGAGAGUUUCGAAAGAUGUAGCGUCCUGUAUAGACCAAAAACCCCCAAGACCAAAACUCAAAGUUGUUUGAUGUGUGUUACAAGUGAUUUUGCUCCAUUUUUGCCCUCGUCUGUUUUAGUUCGACGGAUGUGGAAUCAAAUAUUGUUUCUCCUAA